GUGUAAUAAACAAGAUUUUAGCUUCUCUUUCUUUUUUAGUAUUAUCAAGUCCAAUCCAUUCAUCCCUACCAAGCAUGUUGUAAGUCUGUAAUUAGACAAACAACAUCGCCAUCGAAUCCCCCAUCUCUCAAAAGUAACUCAUCAAUAUAUACAUUCUACAAAAAGUAGAAUUUAGGUAACAGAUCAGACUCUGAAGCCAUCACCGACACGUUUACAACCAGUUAAAAUCCCAUUGAAGCUGCAUGAAAUUGUAGACAAAGUCCAGUCAAUACGAUUUCACCCUUCACUUAAAUGCUUCAUAAUUCCGUAAUCUCAUACUAGAGUCACAAGCCAUUUCAGAAGAGCAUCCCUAACUUUUACUUCGGCGUGAACCAUCAACAACUUGUUCAUCCCAAAUAGACACUAGUAUAUAUAUGGCACUUAGAAAACCUUUUAUGUCAUCAAGUCAAUCAAUCAAAUCAGUAAGUCUAAAUGACAAAAUCACCUUUUGGAUUCGCUCUCUUUUCAUCGUUAUAGUGAAUGAAAAAAACCAAACCACCAAUUCCAGCUAUGAUGGAACAUAAAUUUUAUAGAACGAGAAUUGCAAAAUUGGAGCAUCUCCAGGGAAGAUGGAGUCAUAGUAUCAUACAAUAAUAAGAGAUCUCCAAGAGCUGGGGGACGUAGACUGUUCAGGUAAUGGAAGGGGAGUUUUAUUGCUACUCGUUGACCUUUGUCUGGAAGAGUAAAAUCUCUUAGAUGCACCAAAUCUAUACACACAAAACAAUAGAAAAAUAUAACUAAAUGUUGGUUACAAGUUGAAAUAGGUCAGGGGAAAUAACAUCGGAAAGAUUGCCAAUUCUCUAAAAAAUAAAUAAUACAAAAUAAGUGCUCACUUGUUAAGAGAAUUACCAAAUGAUAGCAACUCAAAACAAUUCAAUGUGUAAUUUCAGUUAGAGGCAAUUCGUUUGCAUUUUGCUAACAGACUUAUUUUAUGUGACGUGUCAUAUUGAAUUUGAUUUUACACAAAAACUGGUUUGUCAAAUAUCUCAGUGCUAACAUACAAGACCUCGAACACAAGUGCAUGCAUACUUCAAAAUUGAAACCAAAAUGAAAUAUUAACAGAAAACACAGC
rnacentral:lncRNA from 1 species